rnacentral:rRNA from 1 species
UACGAAGGGUGCAAACGUUGCUCGGAAUUAUUGGGCGUAAAGCGCACGUAGGCGGCUUAGCAAGUUGGAUGUGAAAUCCCUCGGCUCAACCAAGGAAGUGCAUCCAAAACUGCUGAGCUUGAGUACUUAAGAGGGUCGCGGAAUUCCCGGUGUAGAGGUGAAAUUCGUAGAUAUCGGGAGGAACACCGGUGGCGAAGGCGGCGACCUGGGUCGAGACUGACGCUGAGGCGCGAAAGCGUGGGGAGCAAACAGG